AAUAUUGGACAAUGGUCGGAAGACUGAUCCAGCCAUGCCGCGUGCAGGAAGACGGUCCUAUGGAUUGUAAACUGCUUUUGUACGGGAGCAAUAAGGGCGUCGUGACGUCCGAUGAGAGUACCGUACGAAUAAGCAUCGGCUAACUCCGUGCCAGCAGCCGCGGUAAUACGGAGGAUGCGAGCGUUAUCCGGAUUCAUUGGGUUUAAAGGGUGCGUAGGCGGCUCGACAAGUCAGCGGUGAAAUGCAAGGGCCUAACCCUUGACGUGCCGUUGAAACUGCCGGGCUAGAAUGCGGAUGCUGUGGGAGGAAUGUGUAGUGUAGCGGUGAAAUGCAUAGAUAUUACACAGAACACCGAUUGCGAAGGCAUCUCACAAAUCCGCUAUUGACGCUGAGGCACGAAAGUGCGGGGAUCAAAC
rnacentral:rRNA from 1 species